AGAAACACUUGGAAAUCUGCAGAGAGGUUUGUAAAGGACUUGUUUAAAAUUUAACAAAUAUUUACAAAAAAAAAUGACUUGAUUUAACCUCUUUGUAUGUUGUGUGUUUUUAUUCUCAGACUGGAGACAGAAGUGGGGAACUGACAGCUCGUAUGAACGUGUUGAUCUCCAAACCGUCCUGGGUCUCAGCUACAGCACCAAUAACUCCACUCUCUCAGACAAUAGGACACUGAUUACAACCUGCAUGGUAAUAACUAUAGAAUCAUAUACUCUUAGGAUUGACUUAUUGAUUCGAUGUGAGGUUUUUAGAAUACAGAUUUGUAACAGGUGUUCAUGCUGUUUGUGUUGAAGGGGCAAGGCCCAGAAUGAGCAGAAGACACAGCAUGGAAACCUGGAACUGAUGAAACUCACCCCAGAUAAAAUGAAUGGCCAAAAGUGGAACAGUGACAUCCUGACCAAACAGUCCAAGCCCUCUCUAGCUAAGAGCUCUUCCAAGUUGUUUUUUGUCAGCCGUCUUCGUGGGAAAAAGUACAAGUCUGGUAGCUCAAGUAAAGUCCUCCAGGACACCAGCAACACCCUGGACACAAGCCAGACAACCCCUGUACAGGGAUCACAGAAGCGACU
rnacentral:lncRNA from 1 species